CAUGCAGAAGUUUUUUUGUUUUCUUUUUUUUUUAUAAAUAAUAAACCUGUAAUCACUGCCUGUAAUACACGCCUGCACGCAUGACUUUACCCUGGUCACUUGGUUGCCAGAGGUUCUUGUAUCUUUCGCCUUAUUCCCGCUCGUAUUUAUUUUACGCGAGGCGAAGAGAACCUCUGGUGGCACGCGAUAUAACUGGUCACUUCCAUGCUGAGUUGCCCUCGGAGUUGCCGUUUGAGAACUUGCAAAACCUGUUUUAUAUUUUGUGACGUAUUUAAACUUCCGGGUUUGUCAUACUACCAAAAUAGCUCUAUUCACGUAUUCAGACUGUUUGGCAGCCUUUUAAAAACUGUACAACUGAGAAACCUUACAGGGAUAUUUAGGUGCAAAAAGGAUUGAGUGGAAGUUUAAUUUGGAGAGAGCUCCCUGGUGGGGUGGAUUUUUCGAUGCCGGAUAUCAAUGCCGGACGGAGUGGUUAGUGACGAGUCGCACGAAAACUACUGUAACAGACGGUUUAUCUUCCUUAUUUGAGAGAAUUCCACAGAGAGAAGCGAGAAAAUAGUGAAAGAGUUGUUGAGAAGGGUAAUGUUGUGAUUGUGUGUAUGAGGAUAAUGUGAAAAGGGGAAAAUGGAAGAUGGGUGAAGUUAAGGAGUUGAUUGUAGGAAGAGACGGUGUGGUUAGAGGUGCUAAGGUAAGGUUGGUGCGAAAAGGAAAGUCGGUCUUUCUCAGUCGUCCUGACCAAAAUUGAAGCACUUAUUUAAUCACGAUUGAAAGAUCCAGCUAAAGCUGAUAGGGUCGUGAUUUAGAUAAAGCUGAUAGGCCGAAAUGAUUGACCACUUACUCUUUUGCCUACAAAAAUAUCGACUUCACUCACUUAUUGCGAGUGAAUACCAACC